GCAGUCGAGGGGCAGCGGGGGAUGCGUUCGCGCAUUCUGCCGGCGACCGGCGCACGGGUGAGUAACACGUAUGCAACCUGCCCCGUCCAGGGGGAUAAUCGGCGGAAACGCCGUCUAAUACCGCGUAUAUCGAUUCCGGGCAUCCGGGAUUGAAGAAAGGGCCUUAGGGUCCGGGACGGGAUGGGCAUGCGGCGCAUUAGGAAGUUGGCGGUGUAACGGACCACCAAUCCGUCGAUGCGUAGGGGUUCUGAGAGGAAGGCCCCCCACACUGGUACUGAGACACGGACCAGACUCCUACGGGAGGCAGCAGUGAGGAAUAUUGGUCAAUGGGCGGGAGCCUGAACCAGCCAAGUCGCGUGAGGGAAGAAGGUACUGAGUAUUGUAAACCUCUUUUGCCAGGGGACAAAGGCGGCCACGGGUGGCCGUAAGAGGGUACCUGGAGAAAAAGCAUCGGCUAACUCCGUGCCAGCAGCCGCGGUAAUACGGAGGAUGCGAGCGUUAUCCGGAUUUAUUGGGUUUAAAGGGUGCGCAGGCGGAAUGUCAAGUCAGCGGUAAAAUUUCGGGGCUCAACCCCGUCGUGCCGUUGAAACUGGCGUUCUUGAGUGAGCGAGAAGUAUGCGGAAUGCGUGGUGUAGCGGUGAAAUGCAUAGAUAUCACGCAGAACUCCGAUUGCGAAGGCAGCAUACCGGCGCUCAACUGACGCUCAUGCACGAAAGCGUGGGUAUCGAACAGGAUUAGAUACCCUGGUAGUCCACGCAGUAAACGAUGAAUACUAACUGUCCGGGCAGAAUGAUGCCUGGGUGGUACAGCGAAAGCGUUAAGUAUUCCACCUGGGAGU
rnacentral:rRNA from 1 species